rnacentral:rRNA from 1 species
GACGAACGCUGGCGGCGUGCUUAACACAUGCAAGUCGAACGGAAAGGCCCUGCUUUUGUGUGGUGCUCGAGUGGCGAACGGGUGAGUAACACGUGAGUAUCCUGCCCUUGACUUUGGGAUAACUUCAGGAAACUGGGGCUAAUACCGGAUAGGAGCUCCUGCUGCAUGGUGGGGGUUGGAAAGUUUCGGCGGUUGUGGAUGGACUCGCGGCUUAUCAGCUUGUUGGUGGGGUAGUGGCUUACCAAGGCUUUGACGGGUAGCCGGCCUGAGAGGGUGAACGGCCACAUUGGGACUGAGAUACGGACCAGACUCCUACGGGAGGCAGCAGGGGGGAGUAUUGCACAAUGGGGGGAAGCCUGAUGCAGCAACGCCGCGUGCGGGAUGAAGGCCUUCGGGUUGUAAACCGCUUUAGCCUGUGACGAAGCGUGAGUGACGGUAAUGGGUAAAGAAGCACCGGCUAACUACGUG